rnacentral:rRNA from 1 species
UACAUGGGGUGCAAACGUUGCUCGGAAUUAUUGGGCGUAAAGCGCACGUAGGUGGUCUGUUAUGUCAGAUGUGAAAGCCCUCGGCUUAACUGAGGAAGUGCACCUGAAACUGGCAGGCUUGAGUACGAAAGAGGGUCGCGGAAUUCCCGGUGUAGAGGUGAAAUUCGUAGAUAUCGGGAGGAACACCGGUGGCGAAGGCGGGUCUCUGGGCAGUUACUGACGCUGAGGAGCGAAAGCGUGGGGAGCAAACGGG